GAUGAACGCUGGCGGCGUGCCUAAUACAUGCAAGUCGAGCGAAUGGAUUAAGAGCUUGCUCUUAUGAAGUUAGCGGCGGACGGGUGAGUAACACGUGGGUAACCUGCCCAUAAGACUGGGAUAACGCCGGGAAACCGGGGCUAAUACCGGAUAACAUUUUGAACCGCAUGGUUCGAAAUUGAAAGGCGGCUUCGGCUGUCACUUAUGGAUGGACCCCGGUCGCAUUAGCUAGUCGGUGAGGUAACGGCUCACCAAGGCAACGAUGCGUAGCCGACCUGAGAGGGUGAUCGGCCACACUGGGACUGAGACACGGCCCAGACUCCUACGGGAGGCAGCAGUAGGGAAUCUUCCGCAAUGGACGAAAGUCUGACGGAGCAACGCCGCGUGAGUGAUGAAGGCUUUCGGGUCGUAAAACUCUGUUGUUAGGGAAGAACAAGUGCUAGUUGAAUAAGCUGGCACCUUGACGGUACCUAACCAGAAAGCCACGGCUAACUACGUGCCAGCAGCCGCGGUAA
rnacentral:rRNA from 1 species